AGGGAGGUAGGGAGAAAUCAGAGGUAGACAGAGAGGUAGGGAGAAAUCAGAUGAAAUCAGAGAUAUACAGAGAGGUAGGGAGAAAUCAGAGAUAGACAGAGAGGUAGGGAGACAUCAGAGAUAGACAGAGAGGUAGGGAGAAAUCAGAGAUAGACAGAGACGUAGGGAGAAAUCAGAUGAAAUCAGAGAGCUGCUGUCCAGUGUGACCCCAAGGAGCCGUAUUUGGUAGCCACACCUGCUGAGCUCUAAACAGCUGGUGAUCUGACAGAGUUAGAUUCUGCCCUUACUGACCCAUGUGAC
ensembl:lncRNA